rnacentral:sRNA from 1 species
UACCAGUGCACCUGGAGGAUUCCACCCC